rnacentral:rRNA from 1 species
AACGAACGCUGGCGGCAUGCCUAACACAUGCAAGUCGAACGAGACCUUCGGGUCUAGUGGCGCACGGGUGCGUAACGCGUGGGAACCUGCCCUUAGGUUCGGAAUAACUCCCCGAAAGGGGUGCUAAUACCGGUUAAUGUCUUCGGACCAAAGAUUUCUCGCCUUUGGAUGGGCCCGCGUUGGUUUAGCUAGUUGGUAGGGUAAAAGCCUACCAAGGCGUCGAUCCAUGGCUGGUCGGAGAGGAUGACAAGCAGCACUGGGACUGAGACACGGCCCAGACUCCUACGGGAGGGAGCAGUAGGGUAUAUUGGGCAAGGGGCGAAAGCCUGAUCCAGCAAUGCCGCGGGAGUGAUGAAUGCGUUAGGGUUGUAAAGCUCUUUUACCCGGGAUGAUAAUGACAGUACCGGGAGAAUAAGCUCCGGCUAACUCCGUG